GUCACGCCAUUCAAAAAAGAGAGACGUGGAAGCUGGCUGGUGGUUGACUGAGAGCUCAACAAAGAGCAUGUAGACAGAAAUGUGAUAUUUGAGAAGCUGAGCAAGAAGUCAUUGACACAAAAGAACACCUACUUAAGAAGGUCG
ensembl:ncRNA M03D4.76 ncRNA